ACGACCACGGCAGGCAGGUCCACGGCACAGAUUUCAGCACGUGCCUUCAUUCAGUGCAGAUGUGGACCGAGCGCCUUCUCUUGGAUAGAAACUGAGGAUCCGGAGGUCAACGUGCGAUGUGGUCCUGCCCUCUCAGAUCUUCGUGCUGCGCUGCCCCGGCUGCAUCUCUAGGACUCCUGGCCCGCUCUCCUCCUGGACUCUGGUGGUGGUGACACAGGAAGCAGUCUUCGCUGGUUUUCUGGAACCCUGGACAGCUCCCCGAAGAUCUCAUCCUUCCUAACUCCUGGGCCUCCCCUGGAUAAAGGCCCCUCCUGCCCUGCCGAGCUCUGGGCCCCCGUGGCGGGCUAGUUCCCCCCUCCUUUUGGCAAGCAGACGUCCUAGGCUGGUCCUGCAGACAGAUGCCCUACUUUGCUGCCCCGAUUGGCUGUGAGUUCAAA
rnacentral:lncRNA from 1 species